rnacentral:lncRNA from 1 species
GGGUUUCCUGCAGCCAAAGAGCCAUGAGUCACAGCAGCUGGCUCAAGGCUGGGAGGGGAAGUAAAACACUAAAUCUAAGGACCACUCUAUUCACCCUACAGUGACUGCUCUUUUUCCCUCCUGCCACAGUCCAGGGUAGGAGAUACUUCUCCAGGCUCUCACUUAUGGGGGCUUUCCUGCUGGCUACAUCACUGAAAUGGAAUCUCCUAGUGGCCCUUCUCCCUCUACAGCUCUGGUGUUACACUGAAAAACUAGAAGUUUCAAAACAGACAAGGGAAAAAGAGAAACAUCAGAAAGUCUGAUUAAAGUAGAAGCAUCAUAUUUCUAUCAACGUAUCCACUGUGCUUGGCAUUAUAGUAUACAUAGCCUUGGAAUCAGAAGACCAAGAACAUACAAGAGAACAUAGCCUUGGAAUCAGAAGACCAAGAAACAAUUUAACUCUGCCCCUCUAGAGCUCUGAGAACUUGGGCAAGCCUUUUACCCUCUUGAAUUUUUGCCACCUUCAAUGAGAAAGACUGAAACAAAAAACUCAGAAGAAAGAAAGAGACUGAGAUAGCAAAUAUGACAAACUGUUAAAAAUUCAUGAAUCUGUUAUGGAAUACUAUGCAGCCAUAAAAAAGGAUGAGUUCCUGUCCUUUGCAAGGACGUGUAUGAAGCUGGAAACCAUCAUUCUGAGCAAACUAAAACAGGAACAGAAAACCAAACACCACAUGUUCUCACUCAUAAGUGGGAGUUGAACAAUGAGAACACAUGGACACGGCGGGGUGGUGGGAACAUCACACACCGGGGCCUGUCAGAGGGGAGGGGGCUAGGGGAGAGAUAGCAUUAGGAGAAAUACCUAAUGUAGAUGAUGGGUUGAUGGGUGCAGCAAACCACCAUGGCAUGUGUAUACCUAUGUAACAAACCUGCAUGUUCUGCACAUGUAUCCCAGAACUUAAAGUAUAAUAAUAAAAAGAGAGAUUAAAAAAAUUGGUGAAUCUGGGCAAAAUGUACACAGGAUUUUUCUGUACUGUUCUUGCAACUUUUCUACAGAUUUGAAAUGUUACAAAAUAAAAGGUAUUUUUAGAAAAAGAG